rnacentral:rRNA from 1 species
GACGAACGCUGGCGGCGUGCUUAACACAUGCAAGUCGAACGGAAAGGCCCUGCUUUUGUGGGGUGCUCGAGUGGCGAACGGGUGAGUAACACGUGAGUAACCUGCCCUUGACUUUGGGAUAACUUCAGGAAACUGGGGCUAAUACCGGAUAGGAGCUCCUGCUGCAUGGUGGGGGUUGGAAAGUUUCGGCGGUUGGGGAUGGACUCGCGGCUUAUCAGCUUGUUGGUGGGGUAGUGGCUUACCAAGGCUUUGACGGGUAGCCGGCCUGAGAGGGUGACCGGCGAGAAGGAGCAUGAACAUCGGCGAGGACUCUUAGGGCGGGCAGCGAGGGGGGAUGCUGACGCAGGGGGGGUUGACGGCUGCAGAGCGGCGGGGGGCUGGAGGGCGGGCUGGGGGUAGUACCACGUUUGCGGCUUGGAAGGAGGGUGAGGGAGGAUGAUAGGAAAAGAAGCACCGGCAAACGAAGUGCCGGCAGCGGGGGUAGUGAGGGAAAGAACACGUUCGGACC